rnacentral:snoRNA from 1 species
GAAAUCAUACUUCACAGAAUCAUUUCUGUAGUGUGUAUUUCAUCGCUUUCAGCGAAACUGCAACGAAACGCAACCGCGAUGAUG